rnacentral:rRNA from 1 species
UACGUAGGGGGCUAGCGUUGUCCGGAAUCAUUGGGCGUAAAGAGCGCGUAGGCGGCCAGAUAAGUCCGGUGUGAAAGUCACAGGCUCAACCUGUGAAUGCCGCUGGAAACUGUCUGGCUAGAGUCCGGAAGGGGCGAGUGGAAUUCCUGGUGUAGCGGUGAAAUGCGCAGAUAUCAGGAGGAACACCGGUGGCGAAGGCGGGUCUCUGGGCAGUAACUGACGCUGAGGAGCGAAAGUGUGGGGAGCGAACAGG